CGCCGCGUGAGUGAUGAAGGUCUUCGGAUCGUAAAACUCUGUUAUUAGGGAAGAACAAAUGUGUAAGUAACUAUGCACGUCUUGACGGUACCUAAUCAGAAAGCCACGGCUAACUACGUGCCAGCAGCCGCGGUAAUACGUAGGUGGCAAGCGUUAUCCGGAAUUAUUGGGCGUAAAGCGCGCGUAGGCGGUUUUUUAAGUCUGAUGUGAAAGCCCACGGCUCAACCGUGGAGGGUCAUUGGAAACUGGAAAACUUGAGUGCAGAAGAGGAAAGUGGAAUUCCAUGUGUAGCGGUGAAAUGCGCAGAGAUAUGGAGGAACACCAGUGGCGAAGGCGACUUUCUGGUCUGUAACUGACGCUGAUGUGCGAAAGCGUGGGGAUCAAACAGGAUUAGAUACCCUGGUAGUCCACGCCGUAAACGAUGAGUGCUAAGUGUUAGGGGGUUUCCGCCCCUUANUGCUGCAGCUAACGCAUUAAGCACUCCGCCUGGGGAGUACGACCGCAAGGUUGAAACUCAAA
rnacentral:rRNA from 1 species